UACGUAGGUGGCAAGCGUUGUCCGGAAUUAUUGGGCGUAAAGCGCGCGCAGGCGGUCCCUUAAGUCUGAUGUGAAAGCCCACGGCUCAACCGUGGAGGGUCAUUGGAAACUGGGGGACUUGAGUACAGAAGAGGAAAGCGGAAUUCCACGUGUAGCGGUGAAAUGCGUAGAGAUGUGGAGGAACACCAGUGGCGAAGGCGGCUUUCUGGUCUGUAACUGACGCUGAGGCGCGAAAGCGUGGGGAGCAAACGG
rnacentral:rRNA from 1 species